GCCGGAGUGGCGGAACUGGCAGACGCGCUAGACUCAAAAUCUAGUGUCCGCAAGGACGUGUGGGUUCGAACCCCACCUCCGGUA
rnacentral:tRNA from 1 species